rnacentral:rRNA from 1 species
UAAACUAGGAUUAGAUACCCUAUUAUUGUAAAUGUAAAUUUUAAAUACUAAAUUAGUAUUAGUUAUUUUCUUGAAAAUUAAAAAAUUUGGCGGUAUUUUAGUCUUUUCAGAGGAACCUGUCCUGUAAUUGAUAGUCCACGAUUAUUAAUACUUUAGUUUUAAGUUUACAUAUCGUCGUAGAUUGAAUAUUUUAAUAGAAUUUUAAUAUUCAUAAUUUUUUAUUAAAAAAUAAAUCAGAUCAAGGUGUAGCUUAUAUUUAAGAAGAGGUGGGUUACAUUUAAUUUAUUAUAAGAUAAUUUUUUUAAAAGAAAUUUGAAUAUGGAUUUGAGAGUAAUUAAGAAUAUUUAUUUAAAAUGAUUAUAGCUCUAGAAUAUGCACACAUCGCCCGUCGCUCUUAA